AGAACGAACGCUGGCGGCAUGCCUAACACAUGCAAGUCGAACGCGUGUAGCAAUACACGAGUGGCGGACGGGUGAGUAACGCGUGGGAACCUGCCCUGGAGUGUGGGAUAACCGAGGGAAACUUCGGCUAAUACCGCAUACGACCUGAGGGUGAAAGAUUUAUCGCUCUAGGAGGGGCCCGCGUCGGAUUAGCUAGUUGGUGGGGUAAAGGCCUACCAAGGCAGUGAUCCGUAGCUGGUCUGAGAGGAUGAUCAGCCACACUGGGACUGAGACACGGCCCAGACUCCUACGGGAGGCAGCAGUGGGGAAUAUUGGACAAUGGGGGCAACCCUGAUCCAGCAAUGCCGCGUGAGUGAUGAAGGCCUUAGGGUUGUAAAGCUCUUUCGCGCGCGACGAUGAUGACGGUAGCGCGAGAAGAAGCCCCGGCUAACUUCGCGCCAGCAGCCGC
rnacentral:rRNA from 1 species